UACGUAGGGGGCGAGCGUUAUCCGGAUUCAUUGGGCGUAAAGCGCGCGUAGGCGGCCGCCUAAGCGGAACCUCCAACCCCGGGGCUCAACCUCGGGCCGGGUUCCGGACUGGGCGGCUCGAGUGCGGUAGAGGAGAGCGGAAUUCCCGGUGUAGCGGUGGAAUGCGCAGAUAUCGGGAAGAACACCGAUGGCGAAGGCAGCUCUCUGGGCCGUCACUGACGCUGAGGCGCGAAAGCUGGGGGAGCGAACAGG
rnacentral:rRNA from 1 species